rnacentral:rRNA from 1 species
GCUGGCGGCCAUAGCGGUGGGGCAACUCCUGGUCUCGUCCGAUCCCAGAAGAAAAGUCCACCAGCGAUUCGGGCUGUACUCUUGUGCGAGAGCCAAGGGGAACCUCGAGACGCUGCCGGCC